AAAAAAGGUAAGCUACUAAGAGCGAAUGGUGGAUGCCUUGACUGGUAAAGGCGAUGAAGGACGUACUAGACUGCGAUAAGCUACGGGGAGCUGUCAAGAAGCUUUGAUCCGUAGAUUUCCGAAUGGGGCAACCCAAUGUAUAGAGAUAUACAUUACCUAUAUAGGAGCGAACGAGGGGAAUUGAAACAUCUUAGUACCCUCAGGAAAAGAAAUCAAUAGAGAUUGCGUCAGUAGCGGCGAGCGAAAGCGCAAGAGGGCAAACCCAGUGCUUGCACUGGGGGUUGUAGGACUGCAAUGUGCAAGAGGUGAGUUUAGCAGAACAUUCUGGAAAGUAUAGCCAUAGAGGGUGAUAGUCCCGUAUGCGAAAAACAAACCUUAGCUAGCAGUAUCCUGAGUAGGGCGGGACACGAGGAAUCCUGUCUGAAUCCGGGUCGACCACGAUCCAACCCUAAAUACUAAUACCAGAUCGAUAGUGCACAAGUACCGUGAGGGAAAGGUGAAAAGAACUGAGGUGAUCAGAGUGAAAUAGAACCUGAAACCAUUUGCUUACAAUCAUUCAGAGCCCUAUGUAGCAAUACAGGGUGAUGGACUGCCUUUUGCAUAAUGAGCCUGCGAGUUGUGGUGUCUGGCAAGGUUAAGCAAACGCGAAGCCGUAGCGAAAGCGAGUCUGAAUAGGGCGCUUAGUCAGAUGCUGCAGACCCGAAACGAAGUGAUCUAUCCAUGAGCAAGUUGAAGCUAGUGUAAGAACUAGUGGAGGACUGAACCCAUAGGCGUUGAAAAGCCCCGGGAUGACUUGUGGAUAGGGGUGAAAGGCCAAUCAAACUUCGUGAUAGCUGGUUCUCUCCGAAAUAUAUUUAGGUAUAGCGUUGUGUCGUAAUAUAAGGGGGUAGAGCACUGAAUGGGCUAGGGCAUACACCAAUGUACCAAACCCUAUCAAACUCCGAAUACCUUAUAUGUAAUCACAGCAGUCAGGCGGCGAGUGAUAAAAUCCGUCGUCAAGAGGGAAACAACCCAGACUACCAGCUAAGGUCCCUAAAUCUUACUUAAGUGGAAAACGAUGUGAAGUUACUUAAACAACCAGGAGGUUGGCUUAGAAGCAGCCAUCCUUUAAAGAAAGCGUAAUAGCUCACUGGUCUAGUGAUUUUGCGCGGAAAAUAUAACGGGGCUAAAGUAAGUACCGAAGCUGUAGACUUGCGCACAACUUAGAUUAUUUAAGUUUAGAAUAUGAGAAACUAAGUUAUAUGUUUAGUUAUAUUUUUACUGAUUUUUAUAGAGUAAAGAUAGAAAUAAAACUUAGUAAAAUCAGUAAAAAUAUUCUUAGAUUAAAGUUAAGUAGUUUAAGUUGUGUGCAAGUGGUAGGAGAGCGUUCUAUUUGCGUCGAAGGUAUACCGGUAAGGAGUGCUGGAGCGAAUAGAAGUGAGCAUGCAGGCAUGAGUAGCGAUAAUUAAUGUGAGAAUCAUUAACGCCGUAAACCCAAGGUUUCCUACGCGAUGCUCGUCAUCGUAGGGUUAGUCGGGUCCUAAGUCGAGUCCGAAAGGGGUAGACGAUGGCAAAUUGGUUAAUAUUCCAAUACCAACAUUAGUGUGCGAUGGAAGGACGCUUAGGGCUAAGGGGGCUAGCGGAUGGAAGUGCUAGUCUAAGGUCGUAGGAGGUUAUACAGGCAAAUCCGUAUAACAAUACUCCGAGAACUGAAAGGCUUUUUGAAGUCUUCGGAUG
rnacentral:rRNA from 1 species